rnacentral:rRNA from 1 species
CCUACGGGUGGCUGCAGUGAGGGAUAUUCGUCAAUGGGCGAAACCCUGACCCAGCAACGCCGCGUGAGUGAAGACGGUUUUCGGAUUGUAAACCUCUGUUCUCUGGGAAGAUAAUGCCGGUAACAAACUAGGCAGCUCCGGCUAACUACUUACCAGCAGCCGCGGUAAUACGUAGGGAGCAAGCGUUGUCCGGAUUUACUGGGUGUAACGGGUGCGUAGGCGGCCCUGCAAGUCAGAAGUGAAAGCCAUGGGCUUAACCCGUGAACUGCUUUUGAAACUGUAGGGCUUGAGUGAAGUAGAGGCAGGCGGAAUUCCAGGUGUAGCGGUGAAAUGCGUAGAGAUCGGGAGGAACACCAGUGGCGAAGGCGGCCUGCUGGGCUUUAACUGACGCUGAAGUACGAAAGCGUGGGUAGCAAACAGGAUUAGAUACCCGGGUAGUC